UACGUAGGGUGCAAGCGUUAAUCGGAAUUACUGGGCGUAAAGCGUGAGCAGGCGGCUUUGCAAGACAGAUGUGAAAUCCCCGGGCUCAACCUGGGAACUGCAUUUGUGACUGCAUAGCUAGAGUACGGUAGAGGGGGAUGGAAUUCCGCGUGUAGCAGUGAAAUGCGUAGAUAUGCGGAGGAACACCGAUGGCGAAGGCAAUCCCCUGGACCUGUACUGACGCUCAUGCACGAAAGCGUGGGGAGCAAACAGG
rnacentral:rRNA from 1 species